rnacentral:rRNA from 1 species
UGUACCUUUUGCAUCAUGACUUAGCCAGUCUCAGUCAAGCAAAAGGAAUUUUAGUUUGACACCCCGAAACUAUGUGAGCUACUCCAAGACAGCCUUCAAAUAGGGCCAACCCGUAUCUGUGGCAAAAGAUUGGGAAGAACUUCGAGUAGAGGUGACAGACCUACCGAACUUAGUUAUAGCUGGUUGCCUAGGAAAUGAAUAGAAGUUCAGCCUUUUGGCUUCUUUCUCUGAACAAAAUAGAGAUUAAAUAUAACACCAAAAGAAACCAAAAGAGUUAUUUGAGGGAGGGACAGCUCCCCCAAAAUAAGAUACAACUUUUUAAGGUGGUAAAAGAUCAUAUUAAAGUCAAGGCCUAAGUGUCUUAGUGGGCUUAAGAGCAGCCAUCUUUUCAGAAAGCGUUAAAACUCAAACAUUUUAAUUUCCACCGAUCCGGAUAACUUAUUCUUUCACCCCUAAUUUUACUAAGCCUCUUCAUGCAUGCAUGAAGGUGAUCCUGCUAAGAUGAGUAAUAAGAGAGACCUCCACCUCUCUCCAUUACACAAGUGUAAAUCGAAAUGGACCCCCCACCGAUAAUUAACGGCCCCAACUUAAGAGGGCACUGGCGACUCUAAAUUAAACAUCAAGAAGAUUACCCAACCCUACACCGUUAACCCUACACUGGUGUGUUAAAAGGAAAGACUAAAAGGAAAAGAAGGAACUCGGCAAACAUUUUUAGCCUCGCCUGUUUACCAAAAACAUCGCCUCUUGCAAGAUAAAAAAAUAAGAGGUCCUGCCUGCCCUGUGACUAAAUGUUUAACGGCCGCGGUAUUUUGACCGUGCGAAGGUAGCGCAAUCACUUGUCUUUUAAAUGAAGACCCGUAUGAAUGGCUUAACGAGGGCUAAGCUGUCUCCUUUUCCCAGUCAAUGAAAUUGAUUUCCCCGUGCAGAAGCGGGGAUAAAACCAUAAGACGAGAAGACCCUAUGGAGCUUUAGACACUAACACAGCUCAACUAAACCCUCCCUUAUAAACAGGGCCCUAUCUUAUGAUCCUGUCCUAAUGUCUUUGGUUGGGGCGACCACGGGGAACUACUUAACCCCCACGUAGGCUGGGAGGACACCUCCUGAAAACAAGAGACCCCCCUCUAAUCAUCAGAACUUCUGACUUAAAAUGAUCCGGUAAAACCGAUCAACGAACCGAGUUACCCUAGGGAUAACAGCGCAAUCCCCUUCUAGAGUCCUUAUCGACAAGGGGGUUUACGACCUCGAUGUUGGAUCAGGACAUCCUAAUGGUGCAGCAGCU